rnacentral:ncRNA from 2 species
GAAGCCUACAGGGGGAGCCAAAUGGCUGAGAGUGAACAUGAUUGUUCAGACCCUUUGAACCUGUUAGUUAGUACUAGCGUAGGGAUGGUGGCUUUUUUGAUG